AUUGAACGCUGGCGGCAGGCCUAACACAUGUAAGUCGGGCGAGUGGCGGGCGGAUGAGCAAUGUCUGGGAAUCUGCAUGAUAGAGGGUGAUAACGCCUGGAAACGGUCGCUAAAACCGCAGACCAUGAGAUGAACCCAUAUGGGAUUAGCGUGUAGGUGCGGAAACGGCUCACCUAGGCGCCGAUCCCUAGCUGGUCUGAGAGGAAGAUCAGCCACACUGGGACUGAGACACGGCCCAGACUCCUGCGGGAGGCAGCAGUGGGGAAUAUUGCACAAUGGGCGCAAGCCUGAUGCAGCCAUGCCGCGUGUAUGAAGAAGGCCUUCGGGUUGUAAAGUACUUUCAGUAGGGAGGCGUUACCGACAGAAGAAGCGCCGGCUAACUCCGUGCCAGCAGCCGCGGUAAUAC
rnacentral:rRNA from 1 species